rnacentral:rRNA from 1 species
AUUGAACGCUGGCGGCAUGCUUUACACAUGCAGGUCGAACGGCAGCGCGGGCUUCGGCCUGGCGGCGAGUGGCGAACGGGUGAGUAAUACAUCGGAACGUGCCCAGUAGUGGGGGAUAGCUCGGCGAAAGCCGGAUUAAUACCGCAUACGACCUGAGGGUGAAAGCGGGGGAUCUUCGGACCUCGCGCUAUUGGAGCGGCCGAUGGCAGAUUAGCUAGUUGGUGGGGUAAAGGCCUACCAAGGCGACGAUCUGUAGCUGGUCUGAGAGGACGACCAGCCACACUGGGACUGAGACACGGCCCAGACUCCUGCGGGAGGCAGCAGUGGGGAAUUUUGGACAAUGGGCGAAAGCCUGAUCCAGCAAUGCCGCGUGUGUGAUGAAGGCCUUCGGGUUGUAAAGCACUUUUGGCGGGAACGAAAAGGACUGUGCCAAUACCACGGUUCGAUGACGGUACCCGCAGAAUAAGCACCGGCUAACUACGUG